rnacentral:rRNA from 1 species
GAUUAUGGCUCAGGAUGAACGCUGGCGGCGUGCCUAAUACAUGCAAGUGAAACGGGUAUCUUCGGAUACCAGUCGCGGACGGGUGAGUAAUACAUAGGCAACCUGCCUUUAUGAGGGGGAUAACCGAGGGAAACUUUGGCUAAUACCGCAUGAAGACUCUAAGGCAUCUUAGAGGGAUAAAAGUUGGGAAACAACGCAUGAAGAUGGGCUUAUGGCGCAUUAGCUAGUUGGUGAGAUAGAAGCCCACCAAGGUAAUGAUGCGUAGCCGACCUGAGAGGGUGAACGGCCACAUUGGGACUGAGACACGGCCCAAACUCCUACGGGAGGCAGCAGUAGGGAAUUUUCGGCAAUGGGGGGAACCCUGACCGAGCAACGCCGCGUGAAAAGGAAGAAGGUUUUCGGAUUGUAAACUUCUGUUAUAAGGGAAGAACGGAUUGGAUAGGGAAUGAUCUGAUAGUGACGGUACCUUAUUAGAAAGCCACGGCUAACUACGUGCCAGCAGCCGC